GGAAAAGCAACUGCUCUGAGAUUAGCGGCGGACGGGUGAGUAACACGUGGGCAACCUGCCUAUAAGACUGGGAUAACUUCGGGAAACCGGAGCUAAUACCGGAUACGUUCUUUUCUCGCAUGAGAGAAGAUGGAAAGACGGUUUACGCUGUCACUUAUAGAUGGGCCCGCGGCGCAUUAGCUAGUUGGUGAGGUAAUGGCUCACCAAGGCGACGAUGCGUAGCCGACCUGAGAGGGUGAUCGGCCACACUGGGACUGAGACACGGCUCUGAGUCGUACGGGCAGCAGCAGUAGUGCAUCUUCCGCAAUGGACUGAAAGUCUGACCGAGCAUCGCUGCGUGAAAGAAGAAGGCCUUCGGGUCGUAAAGUUCUGUUGUUAGGGAAGAACAAGUACCAGAGUAACUGCUGGUACCUUGACGGUACCUAACCAGAAACGCCACGGCUAACUACGUGCCAGCAGCCGCGGUAAUACGUAGGUGGCAAGCGUUGUCCGGAAUUAUUGGGCGUAAAGCGCGCGCAGGUGGUUCCUUAAGUCUGAUGUGAAAGCCCACGGCUCAACCGUGGAGGGUCAUUGGAAACUGGGGAACUUGAGUGCAGAAGAGGAAAGUGGAAUUCCAAGUGUAGCGGUGAAAUGCGUAGAGAUUUGGAGGAACACCAGUGGCGAAGGCGACUUUCUGGUCUGUAACUGACACUGAGGCGCGAAAGCGUGGGGAGCAAACAGGAUUAGAUACCCUGGUAGUCCACGCCGUAAACGAUGAGUGCUAAGUGUUAGAGGGUUUCCGCCCUUUAGUGCUGCAGCUAACGCAUUAAGCACUCCGCCUGGGGAGUACGGCCGCAAGGCUGAAACUCAAAGGAAUUGACGGGGGCCCGCACAAGCGGUGGAGCAUGUGGUUUAAUUCGAAGCAACGCGAAGAACCUUACCAGGUCUUGACAUCCUCUGACAACCCUAGAGAUAGGGCUUUCCCCUUCGGGGGACAGAGUGACAGGUGGUGCAUGGUUGUCGUCAGCUCGUGUCGUGAGAUGUUGGGUUAAGUCCCGCAACGAGCGCAACCCUUGAUCUUAGUUGCCAGCAUUCAGUUGGGCACUCUAAGGUGACUGCCGGUGACAAACCGGAGGAAGGUGGGGAUGACGUCAAAUCAUCAUGCCCCUUAUGACCUGGGCUACACACGUGCUACAAUGGAUGGUACAAAGGGCUGCAAACCUGCGAAGGUAAGCGAAUCCCAUAAAGCCAUUCUCAGUUCGGAUUGCUAGGCUGCAACUCGCCUGCAUGAAGCCGGAAUCGCUAGUAAUCGCGGAUCAGCAUGCCGCGGAUGCAC
rnacentral:rRNA from 2 species